CCGCCCAAUGCGCCACCGAUACCGGCUUCGGCGGUGCCGCCGGCGCAAGCGAAGCCACUGGCCAGGCUCAGGGACAACAAGAGAAUCGACGAGAACUUCAUAGGUGAGGAGCCUCAAAGGGAUGACGGCGCGAUCCUGAGGCUUGUGUAGGAAUAGUUACAAUGGAAAUCCGACGAAUAGCACGAGCUGUAUACAAAAUCAUAACUUAUUGUUUUUACUGGGGAACUUAGUCGAUAAAAGACGGUCUCAGCCUGAUUGAAUUCUCCCGUUUCGUGCGUUCAGCGCG
rnacentral:sRNA from 1 species